rnacentral:rRNA from 1 species
CGCCUGGGGAGUACGGCCGCAAGGCUGAAACUCAAAGGAAUUGACGGGGACCCGCCCAAGCGGUGGAGCAUGUGGUUUAAUUGGAAGCAACGGGAAGAACCUUACCAACUCUUGACAUCCCAUUGACCGCUUGAGAGAUCAAGUUUUCCCUUCGGGGACAAUGGUGACAGGUGGUGCAUGGUUGUCGUCAGCUCGUGUCGUGAGAUGUUGGGUUAAGUCCCGCAACGAGCGCAACCCCUAUCCUUAGUUGCCAGCAUUCAGUUGGGCACUCUAGGGAGACUGCCGGUGACAAACCGGAGGAAGGUGGGGAUGACGUCAAAUCAUCAUGCCCCUUAUGAGUUGGGCUACACACGUGCUACAAUGGACGGUACAAAGGGCAGCGAGACCGCGAGGUGGAGCCAAUCCCAUAAAGCCGUUCCCAGUUCGGAUUGCAGGCUGCAACUCGCCUGCAUGAAGUCGGAAUCGCUAGUAAUCGCAGGUCAGCAUACUGCGGUGAAUACGUUCCCGGGUCUUGUACACACCGCCCGUCACACCACGAGAGUUUGCAACACCCGAAGCCGGUGAGGUAAC